GUGCAACAAAAUAUCAAAUCCUGCUUUAACCUAACAAAUUGACAUUAGAGGUAGGUAGCUACACUGCCUCCAAGUCUAAGCGCAUCUUCGUCCUGUCACAAACAACUAGUCUGCACCGAAACUUCCUUGAUUUUCAUGGUUUCCAGCCUUGAAUAAUGUUUAACACUCUGAGUUUAAGCACUGCCUCCAUAUUCCUAAUCUCUGCGACAUCUUCUUUUAUCAAUUUUGCUGCACUGGAUUCCCCCCUGCUGCUGCUAACUCUUCUAACUCUUGCAAUGCUGCCAGAGCAAUUGCUGGCGAUUCAGCAUUUAAGCAUGGCUUCAGCGCAUUCGCUGCUUCCUUGAUUCUUGAUUGCUGCCAAUGUUUUCAAAAUGGAUUAUAUCAACACAAUGGUACAAGAGUGGAUUAAAUUAAAAUACUACUUGUCUGACAGAGACUUACCAUGUGUUCAAGUUUCCCCUUUAGUUCUUCAUAGGCCACCACCAACUUGGGGUCCGAAACUGCAGGGGAUGUCACAUUCUAGGAAACAGGAUAUUUGCACAGAUUAAAUUGGGAAUAAUUCAAAUAUGUGAAAAUAGUUGCAAAAAACUCCAAUGCGUCAGAUCUAUCAUUGCCAUUUUCCAUCCCAAGCCAAAGAAAGAAUAACAAAGUUGAAAGAAAACCUUUCAUAUACAGAGGCAAUUUCCUAUUGGUUCAAGACCACUCUCUCAAACAGAGAUAAAUAUUCCUUUUUUUUCAUUGGUAAGCAUCAUCAUAUCUUCUGUGUUAAUUUAUUUAUCUAUCUACCCAAUUUUAUUUUUUUUGCCAAGUAUAAAUCAUCACUAUAUCUCAUAGAUUCCAAAUCAACAAAUAUUCUUUUUAUCAGUAACCAAACCAACAAAAUAUUCUUUUUAUCAGUAACCAAAUCAACAAAUAUAUGUUCUGCUCAUUUUGUAUGAAGUAUAGAAUUCAUGCCGUCCUCCAAUCCUCACCCUAACAUAUUCAAAUAAAAAAUCUUGUUUCAUUUCAGCAAGAAACACUACAGUUUGCCAAUGUUUUUAGGCAAAGUUAAAGCAGAGAUCGAGAGGUCAUCUUCUCUUCCCCAGGAAAACAAAUACACACAUGUUUGCCACUUAAGCUUUCACAUGUACAAAACUGGGAACACCGGAAUAAAACGCCAGAGAGACAAUGAGUUUCAACAGUUUCAAAUAUGAAAUAAACAAAAGUUACACGACAGAAAAUGUUGUUGGCAGCAAAGGUAAAGAAUGCGCUGGCCGCUGGAGGCUUAAAACCAAAAGACAAGUUAGGAAAUUCAGUUAUCCAGAGACCAACUUCCACAUAUACGGAGUAAUAUACUUCUUCGCUUCAGUUAAUUUCAAUUUAUUUAAUUGCCAAAUUAGAGGAAAUUUCCUUUGAAGCAUUCAAGUAAUCUAUAAGUUAGUUCUUUAUAAUCAAUUGUCACCUAUCUCUACUUUUCACCCAAGCUAAUUGUUUCUUCCUCAUUCUCGUGCUCUUCUAAUAACCAAGAAGCCGUGAUCGAGCCAAUACUAAGCAACAGUGAAAAUGAAAAUACACGACAGUGAAUUUUACAUAUAGCUGUUAGAACUUUUUUUUAAGGAAAAAAGGUGUUACCCAACUUUAUUUCUAUUUCUCAUCCAGAAUGGAUACUCGAUAGCUCUAUUUUGAAGAUCAUCAAUUAGUUACUAAUUAUAUCGUGAGAUAUUAUUUCCACUAAAAGUUAGGUGACUGUACUCCUCCUCUAGGGAGCGUCACAUAUUAAAUUUGUACAGUUUUUGCCUUCCUCAUUCUCUUUAAUUGUACUUAUAUACUAAUCACAACCUAUAUCCAAAAAAUAGACGAUGCAUGAUUACCUUUCCAUUUUUGGUUCAUUUAUUGUUUCUACUAAUCAAGCUAAACAAAACAUGAUCCAGGGAAAAAGAAUUCAACACUUCUUUUACUUCCCAUAAUUUCCUCACUCUCACAAACUGUAUUCAUGUACUAAUUACCACCUAUAUAUGUUUUAAAAAAUGGGCAAUAAUUAAUAUCUUUUCUUUUAUAAGGGAUAAUAAAUAAUAUUUUGGAUCUUUUACCUUAAUCUAUAGUAAAAAGGAGAAUCAUAAUAUGGCUAAGAAAGGAAAGAAAAAACUAAACUAACAUCCCUAGUAUUAUUAUGCAACCACAAAACUUCCCAUAUUUUUAUGCAAAAAAGCACAAAUACCAAAAGAUAACCCCGUGUACUAUGGAGAUCCUACACAAAUAUUAGCUUGAACAAUAUUUCCAAUUGCGUUAGGUGUUUAGUUUUGAAAAGCAUGAGGUAUACCCGUAAUUAAAUAUAUUACAAUAUAAUUACUAAAAACAAAUUAAAAUUACAAAUAAAGAGUUUAUAUGUAUUUAAGUUUAUCAAAUUUAAGAAGAUAAAAUAUAGGGAUAACAUCAUUAUAUUUGUGUACAAUUUUCAAUGUCUAAGGGAUAUAAGUGUAAGAUUUUAAAAUAAAGGGGUGUAGUAUAUGUAAUUGAGUCACAUCAUAGAGGAGUUUAGUGCAAUUUACCCUAUAAAUAUAGCCUAUAGCAAAUGUUUUAGNNNNNNNNNNNNNNNNNNAUUCUCCGAAUAAUAAUGAACCAAAAGACCAACAAAUAGGUGCUAAAACAUUUGCUAUAGGCUAUAUUUAUAGUGUAAUGAACCAAGAGACCAACAAAUAUCACCAUUCGUGGUUCCUUCCCUGCUGGUUUACAGCGCAGGUUGGGUGCAAUCACCACCAAGGCACUAACGCAUAAUGAGAUAUUACGGGUCUAUUUGAAAAGCCAUCAGGUAAUUGGAAUUGAUGUAAUUACUAAUUACACAACUGUGUAAUUACUUGUCACAGUGUAAUUGUAAUUACAAGUUUCUUGUUUGGUUGCAUAAGUGUAAUUACAAAGUUCGAUUAAAUUUUAAAUGAAGUAAUUAUCAAAAUUUAAAAGUUAAUAUUCCCUCUAUUCAAGUUUAUGUGAACUUAUUUCCUUUUUGGUCCGUUCCAAAAAGAAUGACCUCUUUCUAAAUUUGAAAACAAUUUUGCUUAAACUUACAAUUUUACCCCUUAAUGAGAAGACGCAAAUACUCUGGCCCCUUUUUGACUUGUUUAGGACCACAAAUUUCAAAAGUCUUUCAUUUUUUCUUAAACUACGUGAUCAGUCAAGCAUGUUCACAUAAAUUGGUAAAUUGGAACAGAGGGAGUAUAAUAAAUAUAGCCUAUAAUUUAUAAGUAUUAUAUUUGGUAUUUAAUAUAUAUUUUCUCCGUGAAUAUACAUUAAUUAACAAUCAUAUAUUUAUAACAAAUAUUGUAAACAUAUAUAUAUAUUCCAAAUUAAUAAUAUUUAAUUUAGAUACUUAACAACAACAACAACAACAACCACCCACUAAAAUCCCACUAAUGGGGUCUGGGGAGGGUAAUGUGUACGCACAUUUUACCCUUACCCCUAGCCCGAAGGAGUAGAGAGAUGUUUCCGAAAGACCCUCGGCUCAAAAAGACAAAAAGGAGACAAUAUUAGUAUCACAACAGCAAUCAUAAGAAAAAUAGGAACAUUAUAAAAUCCAGAAGAAAGAUGCAAAGCAAAGGGAGACAAUAUUAGUAUCACCACAACAAUCAUAAGAAAAAUAGGAACACCGUGAAAUCUAGAAGAAAGAUGCUUACAAAAACUAAAAACAUAUGUUCCAUAAGAACAUCAUGGAAUUCAUGUUUGAUAAAAUAAAUUAAUAUUUAUAAAUAUAAUGUCAUAACAUUAUUCAAAUAUUUGAUAAAAUUAAUCUAUCAAUUCUAACUAAAAAAUGAAGAACAUGCAAUGUGAGCCAAUACUACUAAAAUAAGUAAAUUGGAACGAUGAAUAUAACACAAUUUCAAAAUCCCACCAAAACAAUAGCUUACCUUAUGUCAAAUUCUAACGUAAUAAUAGUAAGUUCCAAAGCUUAAGAUUAGGAAACAUAAUAAGUUUAUAACCACAUUCAACAACGUAAUUGCAUCAUUCAUUAUAUUCCAAGUUUGUUAUUGACUCAUUAUUUCUAAUAUUAGGAGGUGUAGCUUCAAAAAAUAAAAUAAUAAAAUAAAUAAAAAAUAAAAUAUAGGCAAUUACAUGAAAUCACAAGAAGUAAAGGUAGAGAAAUAAAAGAUAAAUAAUGUACAAGGAAAAAUAUAUUUUAAAAUUUCAAAAGAAUUUAAAUGUAAAAAUAAAUUUAAAAAGUAAAAUAAUAGAAAUAAAAAGUUAUAAAGAAAAUAAAUUAAAAUAAAAACAGAAAAGGAAAGAAACUAAAAUGCAAUACCACCAAUUCUUACCUCCCAUGAGAAUUAGAGAGUGUAAUUACACCCAAUUCUAUGAUGACCAAGUAAUUACUUGGCCAAACAAACAUGCCAAACUGUGCAAUUACACUCAAUUACACCCAACUCCAUUUCCAUGGUGGCUUUCCAAACAGGCUCUAAAUAAAGCAAGUAAAUACCAUAGUAGUAGUUAUACCUUUCUAGGUCGACCCAGAGGUUUUCCAGAAAGCUUCCUGGGUCUCUUAACAGUAGGAGCAGCGGCUGCAGCGCCGUAAGAUUUUGGAGGCCGUCCACGUCGCUUUCCGAGGGGAGGCAGAGCCCCAUUAUUUGUGACACCGCCACCACCAACAGCAUUAGGCAAGUUUUCCGUAUCAAAAGCAGCAGCAAUAGGCACAUCUGUAACACCCACAGUAGCAGCAGGAGGUCCACUAGACCUUGGUGGCCGUCCCCUUCGUUUAGGUGUUGUUAUGGCUCCCGGGACACCACCAGCUGGAACAUUGGUCACAUUGGCACCAACAGAAGGAAUAUUUGCGACAUUGGCACCGCCAUUGGCAGCAGCAACAGCCGCAUUCUUCCUGGGCCGACCUCGUCGUCCAGGAACAGAAUUUUUCCUGGGCCGACCUCGUCGUCCAGAACCCAUAGCUGAUCCAGGAGCAGCAUUAACUGUCACACUCUUAGGAGGACGACCAGGUCUCCUCUUACUACCACCGCUCUGGUCCGGUAAUUUGGGUUCCACCGGUUUAACCACAGUGGAACCAUCCUUACGGGGACGACCUGGUCGUCUCUUUGCCGUACUCUCUUCAGCUCCCGGUGCCGGAGCCAGCCCAACAGCAGGAUUCUGAACUCCAACAGGCCCAUCAGCUAGCCCAAGAGAAACAAACACGGAUUCAGCGCCAAGGCCAGCAUAAUUAUGGCCUUCAGGAGUAGCAUAGGCCUGCGUCUGUGGCUGGGUCUGGAACUGUUGCUGAGGUUGGAGUAAUGGGUCGGGCUGGAACUGUUGUUGAGGUAAGUACUGGGGCUGUUGUUGGAUGAGUUGGAAUUGAGGUUGAAACUGGGCUGCUUGCUGCUGUUGGGCUUGAAGUUGGGCUUGAAGCUGGGCUUGAAGCUGAGCUUGGAAUUGGUCUUGAAAUUGGACUUGAGCUUGGACUUGAGGCUGAGCAUGAGGUUGGGCCUCAGGCUUGAGCUUAGGAGGACGACCAGGUUUCCUUUUAGAAAGAGAAGAAACAUCAGUACCAACACCGUUGGAAUCGGCGUCGGCGGAAGGAGGCGGAGGAGCAGAUCCAGGUGGUCCGGCGAGCAUGUAAGAGUGUUUGACCAUAGCAAGGUAACCACUGUUCUUCAAACGCUU
rnacentral:lncRNA from 1 species